rnacentral:rRNA from 1 species
UACGAAGGGGGCUAGCGUUGCUCGGAAUUACUGGGCGUAAAGCGCGCGUAGGCGGCUUUGUAAGUCAGAGGUGAAAUCCUGGAGCUUAACUCCAGAACUGCCUUUGAGACUGCAUCGCUUGAAUCGUGGAGAGGUAAGUGGAAUUCCGAGUGUAGAGGUGAAAUUCGUAGAUAUUCGGAAGAACACCAGUGGCGAAGGCGACUUACUGGACACGUAUUGACGCUGAGGUGCGAAAGCCAGGGGAGCAAACGGG